GAGACACCCUUCUGGGGCAAGACUUCAGUGGGGCUUUGGUGCUCACUGAGUCUUCCCCCUGAGCGUGUCCCU
rnacentral:pre_miRNA from 1 species